rnacentral:rRNA from 1 species
UACGAAGGGGCUAGCGUUGUUCGGAUUUACUGGGCGUAAAGCGCACGUAGGCGGAUCUUUAAGUCAGAGGUGAAAUCCCAAGGCUCAACCUUGGAACUGCCUUUGAUACUGGGGAUCUUGAGUCCGGGAGAGGUGAGUGGAACUGCGAGUGUAGAGGUGAAAUUCGUAGAUAUUCGCAAGAACACCAGUGGCGAAGGCGACCUUCUGGGCCUUGCCUGACGCUGAGGCGCGAAAGCGUGGGGAGCAAACAGG